UAUGGGCAGAUAAGGGUAUAUGGACUUUUGGAGACAUAAAUGGUAAUAAUUCCCUACUAAGCUUUAAUGAGCUAAUGACACUUUACAACAUUCCUAAACAUUCUUUAUUCUUUUACUUCAGACUUAGAUCAGCCCUAAAAACACAGAAUGUUACAUGGGGCUCAGGGCUGAAAGAACACACUGUAGUUAAAUGGUUACUUGUUGCUCCUAAAAACACUGUCUCCUUCCUGUACACAAAACUUCUUUCACAUUUGUCUCCUAAACCCAAUACUGGGGAAUGGGAUCGAUCAAUGGGGCUUAGAGGGAGAACUAUAAAUUGGGAAACAAGCUGGCAUAAUAUAUGUAGAAGCUCCCAUAAUCCUAAUCAUCAAUUCAUUCACAUGAAGAUUGCCCAUAGAGCAUAUCUUACCCCUAGAGUCAGACACUUAAUAGGACUAGCACCACAUCCAUUUUGUACUUUUUGUCCACAGAGUACGUUAGGGACAUUCAUGCAUGUAAUGUGGGACUGUCCUAAGAUAUAUGAUUUCUGGAUUAGAAUACUAGAUUGUUUGUCUGAUCUGAUUAGUAUACAACUUCCCAUAGACCCUGCUCUACACCUUCUCAUUGAUGACUCUGUAAUUUGUAUGAAUGAAAGAUCUAGGAAAGUCUGGCUUGCCGGUUUAACAACAGCCAAGAAGAUUAUUGUACAAGUCUGGGUGCCAUCCCACAAUUUAUCAUUCAAACACUGGUUGAAUACCCUUUUGGACAUUCUCUUUCUUGAGCUUUCCUCCGCCAAAGUAAAUGGUGCAACCCCACGAACACUUAAAACCUGGAACAAUGGCAUCUCCAAAGAGAAGGACAUUAUAAUGAAAAAUAACUAAUUUGAAAUUGAGACCUGUUUACAUUAGUGUGCUGAUAUGAUUUGUUGUAUGAAUAUAUCUCAUGUGAGUAGGGGGGGUUGGGGGGGGGGGUUAUGACAUGUUUGGGAUAUGUUCUGCCAUAUAUGCUUAAUACAAAUAUAUG
rnacentral:lncRNA from 1 species